AUACACUAUGAUGCUUUUGAGAGACUCGCCCAGUUCAUUUAACAAAAAGCAAGGCUGAAUCACACCACAAAUUAAGUUCAUGAUUAUUCUGACUGUCAGGAUUAUGAUGAAGAAUGUGGAUUAAAUGUCUUACCAGUGACUCGGACAUGGAUUGAGUUCAUUCCUGAUCCUGUGACGUUUUUUGGAUGAUAUUUUGUAAAUGAGUACACGCAACUGUAGGUACCAGAGUCCCGUAAUGAAAUAUUCCUCAAAGUGAAGGUGUGCUCAUUUUUAUUUCCAAGUAGUUCUAAUCUCUCUCCAACACCAUUUUUACACAAAUACAUGUGAACAUCUGUAUUUGAGCUCUGGAUGUUAGAGAUGCUGCACGUUAAUGCUACAUUUUCCCCAACUUUUGCUGUGGAGGGUCCAAAAAUUUGUGCUGGAAAAAUCUUCAACGCAUCACCUGUUGA
ensembl:lncRNA